rnacentral:rRNA from 1 species
UACGGGGGGGAGCAAGCGUUGUUCGGAUUUACUGGGCGUAAAGGGCGCGUAGGCGGUCAGCACAAGUCAGUUGUGAAAAUCUCCGGGCUUAACUCGGAAAGGUCAACUGAUACUGUGCGACUAGAGUGCAGAAGGGGCAACUGGAAUUCUCGGUGUAGCGGUGAAAUGCGCAGAUAUCAGGAGGAACACCAAUAGCGAAGGCAGCUCGCUGGGACGGUACUGACGCUAAGGCGCGAAAGCGUGGGAGCGAACAGGA